UACAGGGGGUGCAAACGUUGCUCGGAAUCAUUGGGCGUAAAGCGCACGUAGGCGGUUCGUUAUGUCGGAUGUGAAAGCCCUCAGCUCAACUGAGGAAGUGCGCCCGAAACUGCAGAGCUUGAGUGCCGGAGAGGGUGGCGGAAUUCCCCAAGUAGAGGUGAAAUUCGUAGAUAUGGGGAGGAACACCGGUGGCGAAGGCGGCCACCUGGACGGUAACUGACGCUGAGACGCGAAAGCGUGGGGAGCAAACAGG
rnacentral:rRNA from 1 species